rnacentral:rRNA from 1 species
UACGAAGGGGGCUAGCGUUGCUCGGAAUCACUGGGCGUAAAGCGCACGUAGGCGGAUUGCUAAGUCAGGGGUGAAAUCCCAGAGCUCAACUCUGGAACUGCCUUUGAUACUGGGUAUCUCGAGUAUGGAAGAGGUGAGUGGAAUUCCGAGUGUAGAGGUGAAAUUCGUAGAUAUUCGGAGGAACACCAGUGGCGAAGGCGGCUCACUGGUCCAUUACUGACGCUGAGGUGCGAAAGCGUGGGGAGCAAACAGG